rnacentral:rRNA from 1 species
GGGCUUUGGCGGCGUGCUAUACAUGCAGUCGAGCGAACAGACAAGGAGCUUGCUCCUUUGACGUUAGCGGCGGACGGGUGAGUAACACGUGGGUAACCUACCUAUAAGACUGGGAUAACUUCGGGAAACCGGAGCUAAUACCGGAUAAUAUUUCGAACCGCAUGGUUCGAUAGUGAAAGAUGGUUUUGCUAUCACUUAUAGAUGGACCCGCGCCGUAUUAGCUAGUUGGUAAGGUAACGGCUUACCAAGGCGACGAUACGUAGCCGACCUGAGAGGGUGAUCGGCCACACUGGAACUGAGACACGGUCCAGACUCCUACGGGAGGCAGCAGUAGGGAAUCUUCCGCAAUGGGCGAAAGCCUGACGGAGCAACGCCGCGUGAGUGAUGAAGGUCUUCGGAUCGUAAAACUCUGUUAUUAGGGAAGAACAUACGUGUAAGUAACUAUGCACGUCUUGACGGUACCUAAUCAGAAAGCCACGGCUAACUACGUGCCAGCAGCCGCGGUAAUACGUAGGUGGCAAGCGUUAUCCGGAAUUAUUGGGCGUAAAGCGCGCGUAGGCGGUUUUUUAAGUCUGAUGUGAAAGCCCACGGCUCAACCGUGGAGGGUCAUUGGAAACUGGAAAACUUGAGUGCAGAAGAGGAAAGUGGAAUUCCAUGUGUAGCGGUGAAAUGCGCAGAGAUAUGGAGGAACACCAGUGGCGAAGGCGACUUUCUGGUCUGUAACUGACGCUGAUGUGCGAAAGCGUGGGGAUCAAACAGGAUUAGAUACCCUGGUAGUCCACGCCGUAAACGAUGAGUGCUAAGUGUUAGGGGGUUUCCGCCCCUUAGUGCUGCAGCUAACGCAUUAAGCACUCCGCCUGGGGAGUACGACCGCAAGGUUGAAACUCAAAGGAAUUGACGGGGACCCGCACAAGCGGUGGAGCAUGUGGUUUAAUUCGAAGCAACGCGAAGAACCUUACCAAAUCUUGACAUCCUUUGACAACUCUAGAGAUAGAGCCUUCCCCUUCGGGGGACAAAGUGACAGGUGGUGCAUGGUUGUCGUCAGCUCGUGUCGUGAGAUGUUGGGUUAAGUCCCGCAACGAGCGCAACCCUUAAGCUUAGUUGCCAUCAUUAAGUUGGGCACUCUAAGUUGACUGCCGGUGACAAACCGGAGGAAGGUGGGGAUGACGUCAAAUCAUCAUGCCCCUUAUGAUUUGGGCUACACACGUGCUACAAUGGACAAUACAAAGGGCAGCGAAACCGCGAGGUCAAGCAAAUCCCAUAAAGUUGUUCUCAGUUCGGAUUGUAGUCUGCAACUCGACUACAUGAAGCUGGGAAUCGCUAGUAAUCGUAGAUCAGCAUGCUACGGUGAAUACGUUCCCGGGUCUGUACACACCGCCCGUCACACACGAGAGUUUGUACACCGAGCGUGAGUACAUUGGAGCUAGCGUCGAGUGGACAAUGAUGGGGGUGAGUCGUACAGUAGCGGUAUCGAGGCCGGGGGGGUGCACUCCCUCUCUUCUUAUA